AACGAACGCUGGCGGCAUGCCUAACACAUGCAAGUCGAACGAGAUCUUCGGGUCUAGUGGCGCACGGGUGCGUAACGCGUGGGAAUCUGCCCUUUGGUUCGGGAUGACAGUUGGAAACGACUGCUAAUACCGGAUGAUGACGAAAGUCCAAAGAUUUAUCGCCAGAGGAUGAGCCCGCGUAGGAUUAGCUAGUUGGUGUGGUAAAGGCGCACCAAGGCGACGAUCCUUAGCUGGUCUGAGAGGAUGAUCAGCCACACUGGGACUGAGACACGGCCCAGACUCCUACGGGAGGCAGCAGUGGGGAAUAUUGGACAAUGGGCGAAAGCCUGAUCCAGCAAUGCCGCGUGAGUGAUGAAGGCCUUAGGGUUGUAAAGCUCUUUUACCCGGGAUGAUAAUGACAGUACCGGGAGAAUAAGCUCCGGCUAACUCCGUGCCAGCAGCCGCGGUAA
rnacentral:rRNA from 1 species